rnacentral:tRNA from 1 species
GGACCUAUGGCCAAACGGAUAAGGCGCCUGACUACGGAUCAGGAGAUUCCAGGUUCGAUCCCUGGUAGGUUCG